rnacentral:rRNA from 1 species
GAUGAACGCUGGCGGCGUGCCUAAUACAUGCAAGUCGAGCGAACAGACGAGGAGCUUGCUCCUCUGACGUUAGCGGCGGACGGGUGAGUAACACGUGGAUAACCUACCUAUAAGACUGGGAUAACUUCGGGAAACCGGAGCUAAUACCGAAUAACAUGUUGAACCGCAUGGUUCAACAGUGAAAGACGGUCUUGCUGUCACUUAUAGAUGGAUCCGCGCCGCAUUAGCUAGUUGGUAAGGUAACGGCUUACCAAGGCAACGAUGCGUAGCCGACCUGAGAGGGUGAUCGGCCACACUGGAACUGAGACACGGUCCAGACUCCUACGGGAGGCAGCAGUAGGGAAUCUUCCGCAAUGGGCGAAAGCCUGACGGAGCAACGCCGCGUGAGUGAAGAAGGUCUUCGGAUCGUAAAACUCUGUUAUUAGGGAAGAACAAAUGUGUAAGUAACUAUGCACGUCUUGACGGUACCUAAUCAGAAAGCCACGGCUAACUACGUG